AAAACUUUUAAUAAUAGAUCUCUUAGUUUUAGUAUUAAUAAAGAAUAUAAUGAAAUAUAAUAAGUAAUAUAAAUUGUAGAAUUUAGUAAAUUAUCGAAUCUUUAAACGUAUAUUAUAUUUGCUAAUAUUUUGGCGAAUAUACUUAUUCGAACGUUAUUUUAAUUAUUAAAUUCUAUUUAUAUUAGGGAUCCGUAGCUAUUUGUAAUCCUUUAAAAUUAAUAGCGGGUUUAUUAAUUAUAUUAAAUAUAAUAAUUUUAUAUUAUUAUAGUUAUAUAGUAGGUUUUUAUUAUAAAACCCUUUAUUUUUAAAGUUGACUUCGGAUUAGGUAGGAAUACCCGCUAAAUUUAAAUAUAUUAAUAAGCGGAGGAAAAGAAAUUAAUAGGGAUUGCCCUAAUAAUAGCGAAUAAAGUAGUAAUAAUUUAAAUUUGAAAUUUAGCUUUGGUUUGAAUUAUAAUUUAUAGAGGAAGCUUUUAGUAAAGUACCUUCUAAAUCCUUUGGAACGGGGCGCUAUAGAGGGUGAAAGCUCUAUAUAAUUAGAUACCGAUUUAAUAUAAAGUUCCUUUAAUAAGUUAAAUAGUUUAGGAAUAUUAUUUAAAAUAGGAGGUAAAUUUCUUCUAAAGUUAAAUACCGGCUAGAGAUUAAUAGUAUAUAAGUAGAGUAAUUAAAAGAUAAAAAGUACUUUAAAAAGAGGGUUAAAUAGUAUAUAAAAUUAUUGAAAGGGAAGUGUUUGUAAUUAGAUUUGCGCUAUUCCAAUUAUUUAGUAUUUUUACUAGUAUAUUUAGGAUAGUUUAAGCUAGUAUUGGUUUUAGCGGGGGGAUAAAGGUUUGGGGAAUAUAGCUCCUUCGGGAGUAUUAUAGCCUUAGGCGUAAUAUUUUCGCUAGGAUUAAGGUUCGCGUAUUUAUAAGGAUGUUAAUAUAAUAGUUAUUAACGAUCCGUUUUAAAAUAUAGAUUAAGGAGUUAAGGUUUUAUGUAAGUAUUUGGGUGUAAAACCUAUAUAUAUAAUAAAAGUGAAUGUAGGUAAAAGUUUCGGUAUAUUAUUGACCGAUUUUAAUAUAUUUGGAUGGAUUUGAGUAAGAAUAUUAAAUUUUAGACUUAAAAGAUGGUAAAUUAUAUUUAGAUAGGGUGAAGUUAGAGGAAAUUCUAGUAGAGGUUUGUAGCGGUUCUGAUAUAUAAAUCGAUUAUUAAAUUUAAAUAUAGGGGCGAAAGAUUAAUUGAAUUAUUUAGUAGCUAAUUAUUACUAAAGUUUCCCUUAGGAUAGUAGUAUUAUUUUUUAGUUUUAUAAAGUAAAGCGAAUAAUUAGGGAUUUGGGGGCGCUUUUUAGCUUUUAUUUAUUCUUAAACUUUAAAUAUAUAAGAAACCCUUAUUAUUUAAUUGAACGUAGGUAUUCGAAUAUAUUAAUAUUAGUGGGCUAUUUUUAGUAAGUAGAAUUAGCGAUACGGAAUAAAUUGAAUAUAGGGUUAAAGUAUUAGAGUGGAUGUUUAUUAGAUAUUAUAAAAGGCGUUAGUAUAUUUUAAUAGUAGGACGGUAAUUAUAAAAGUCGGAAUUUGCUAAGGAUUGUAUAAUAAUUUACCUAUCGAAUAUAUUAACUUUGAAAAUAGAUAGUACUUAAGUGUUUUAUUUAUACCCUACCUUUAGGGUAGAAACGAUACUUUAAAGAAUAGGCGGCUAUAGAGGUUAGUAACGAAGUUUAGGGUGUAAACUUAGGUUGAAUAACCUUUAGUAUAGAUUUUAGUAGUAAUAGUAAAUAUUUUAAUAAGAAUUUAAAGGACCGAAGUAGGGAAAGGUUCUAUAUAAAUAGCGGUUAGAUAUAGGUUAAUUAAUUUUAAGCUAUAGGGAAAUUCCGUUUUAAAGGAGCACUUAUACCCUAUAUAGUAAAAGGGAAGCCGGUUAAUAUUCCGGUACUUAGAUGUAGGUUUUACGCAGCAACGCAAUUAAAUACGGAAACGACGGCGGGGGCCCUGGGUAGAAUUCUCUUUUCUUUUUAAUAGUCUAUUAUUUUAAAAAUAAUUUAUUUAGAAAUAGGGUUUAAUAAUUGGAAGAGUCCGAUAUUUCUGUCGGGUCCGGUAUAUUUUUAAUAUCCUUUAAAAAUUUGUAGGAGGGAAUAAUUUUUAUAUUAGGUUGUAUUUAUAAUUGUAGUAGGUCUUUAAGGUGAAUAGUUUUUAAUUAAUAGAAUAAUAUAAAUAAGGGAAGUUAAUAAAAUAGAUCUAUAACUUCGGGAAAAGGAUUAGCUUUAAGGGUUAGGUAUAUUGGGCUUUAGGUAGACGCCCUAGGAGUAGAUUACUAUUAGCUGGGUAAUUGGCUAGCGGUUUUUAGUAUCCGGGUAUAGAAGUUUUUAAUAGAUUUCAGUUAUCCAGUAUAUAUUUAAUAAUUAAUUUAGAAUUAGUACGGAUAGGGGGAAUUUGAUUAUUUAAUUAAAAUAUAGUAUUGCAAUGGCUAAAAAGUGGUAUUAAUAUAAUAUAAUUUUUAUUUAGUAUUCUAAAUAUUAAAGUAAAGAAAUUUAAUUAAGUGCGGGUAAAUAGCGGAAAUAAUUAUAAUUUUCUUAAGGUAGCUAAAUAUUUCGUUAUUUAAUUAGUAACGUAUAUAAAUAGAUUAAUGAGAUUCCUAUUAUUCCUAUUUAUUAUUUAGCGAAAUUAUAGUUAAGGGAAUGGGCUUGGUAGAAUUAGUGGGGAAAGAAGACCCUAUUAAGCUUAAUUUUAAUUUAAUAUUAUAAAAAGAUAUAGGAGGUGUAGAAUAGGUGGGAGCUUCGGUAUUAGUAAAAUAUUACUAUUUUUAUUAUUUUUUUAUUUAUUUAAUUAAGUGGGGCUAGAUUUUCGUUUAAUUUUUGGUUUUAAGGUCCUUUGCAGGCCGACCCGGGUUGAAGAUAUUAUUAGGUGGGGAAUUUAGCUGGGGCGGUAUAUUUAUUAAAUUAUAAUAUAAGUGUUUUAAGGGGGGCUUAUGGAGAAUAGAAAUCUCUAGUAGAAUAAAAGAGUAAAAGUCCUUUUAAUUUUAAUUUUUAGUAUAAAUAUAAAUUAUAAAAGUAUAGCUUAUCGAUCCUUUAAUCCCUCGAAAUUUAAAGUUAGAAGUGUUAGAAAAGUUACUAUAGGGAUAAUUGGCUUGUAGCGGUUAAAUAUUUAUAGCGAUGUUACUUUUUGAUCCUUUAAUAUCGGUUCUUCCUAUUAUAUUAAAGUAGAAUUCGGUAAGUGUUAAAUUAUUUACUUAUUAAUAGGGAACGUGAGUUAGGUUUAGAUUAUUGUGAGAUAGGUUAGUUUUACCCUAUUAAUAACCUUAUUAUAAUAGUAAUUAAGCUUAGUACGAGAGGAACCGUUUAUUUAAAUAAUUGGUUUUUGCGGUUGUCCGACCGGGUAGUACUAUAACGCUAUUAUUUGCUAAAUAAUAGUUAAACGCCUCUAAAUUAGAAUUUAUAUUAGAAUAUAAUAAUACUUCUAAUAUAUUAUAGACGUAUAAGAAUAGACUCCGGCUUUAUAUUUUAGUAGGCAAUUCUUUUAUUAGCUUUAAAGUAGCUAGUAGUAAUUUGUAUAUUAUAAUUUUA
rnacentral:rRNA from 1 species